rnacentral:lncRNA from 10 species
GGAGUUUCUGAUCUACUGGAAUAGAGCAAUGAAUUAAUCAAUAUAAUGCAAUAUAAAUGCUGUCUCAGAAAUAUGCACAUAGACACAAAGGACACAGACACUUGGAGAAUUCAGGCUUGAAAGAAAAGGUCAAGUGUGGUGGCUCAUACCUGUAAUCCCAACAUGUUGGGGGGCAGAGGCGAGAGGACCACUUGAGACCAGGAGUUUGAGACCAGCCUGGGCAACAUAGCAAGGACCUGUGCCUACAAAGAAACAAAAUAAAUAAAUGAAUAAAAAGACUAUUCAAAUGAUGGAUAGUUUGGUUUUAAAAUAUGAAAAGAACCCAUAGAAACUCAAAUGAAGAAAGAGAAUCUCAGGAAACAAAGUUUAGCUUGGCAAUAAUUGAACCAAAAUCACUGGGGAUCCAUUCUUUCUCUUUUAUUUUGUAGAUGAGUUAUCUUGCAUAUAUUUCUGCAUAUUGCUUUACUUUUCUUUGCUGCAGCCUCACUUCCAACAUGAAAAUCUUAGAAUUGGCACCCUUAUAAUAUUGGUUUCCACAUAGUAUGUGGUUAAAAUGUCAUGAACUCUGACAUUAAUUAUCUGUUGUAUCUCCAGAGACUAAAUCAGUUUAUUUGAUUCUGUUUUUUAAAAUUAAUUUGUUUGUACAGUUUAUGGAGGUAUAAUUGACAUUCUAUAAAUGGCUAAUAUCUCAUAGUACAAUUUGGUAAAACAUAAUCUAUUUGUACCCCAGUAAAACCACCACCAUAAUGGAGAUAAUGAAUAUGUGCAUUAUCCUCAAAGCUUUCCUCAUGCCCUUUUAUAACCUCUUGCUUCCAGCUCUCACCUCUCUGGAUUCGUCUCUGGCAAUCUUUAUCUGCUCUCACGAUGCAUGACUGAAUUUUAUAUAAGUGAAAUCAUAUGUUUGCCUAAUUUCUUUCAUUCAUUUAACUAUUUUAACAUUCACCCAUAUAAAUGUGUAUAUCAUUAUUUAAUGCCUUUUUAACUGCUGAGAAAUACUGUAUUUUAUAGAUAUACCUCAAUUUGUUUAUCCAUUCACAUUUAGGCAAUUGGACAUUUGGGACAUUUAGGUUGUUUCUAGUUUCGAGUCUUUAAAGAUGAUGUUAAUGAUGUUACUGUGAGCAUUUAUGUACAAGUCCAUGUAUAAACAUAUGUGUUUUAAUUUGAUAAACACCUAAAAAUGGGAUGACAGAGUCAAAUGGUAGGCUUAUGUUUAACUUCUUAAGAAACUACCACAUUUUUGUUCAAAAGCAACUAUCAGAUUUUACAUUCCUGCCUGCAGUAAAUGAGAGUUCUAGUUUUUUGAUGUUUACAAUACUUGGUAAGGUCAGUCUUAAAAUUUUAGUCACUCUUACUGGUGUGUGUACUAGUAUUUCUGUGUGUUUUUUAACUUGUGAUGUUCAGAAACUGUUUCUAUGGUGAUUUACUAUGUGUACAUCUUUAUUAAAAUGGAUCUGUUCACAGUCUUGGCCAAUUUUUUUAAAAUAGGGUUGCUUGUUUUCUUAUUAAUGAGUUUUGUUUCAUUCUAUAAUGUUUAACAUUGAGAUAUAAGUCACGUGAAAUAUAAUUCACCAUUUUGAAGUGUAUAUGUCAGUGGUUUUUAGUAUAACUACACAAUAUUGUACAACAAUUAUGACUAUUUUAUUCCAGAACAUUUUCAUUAAUCCAUAAAGAAAUCACAUACCUAUUAACAAUCAUGCCUAAUCUUUUCCUCCACUCGUCUCUGGCAACCCAUCAAUCUACUCUGUUUCCCUAGAUCUGUAUAUUCUGAAAAUUUCAUAUAAAUGAAUUCAUGCAAUAGUGAUAAUUUCUGAUAUGGCUUCUUUCCAUUUAGCAUGUUUUCAAGGUUCAUCCAAAUUGUGGCAUGUGACAGGUUUUUAUUACUUUUUAUGGCUGAAAAAUUUUUCUAUAGAGUUUUGAGAAUUUUUAUAUAGCCUGGAUACACAUUAUCAGAUUCAUUAUGUGUAAAUAUGUUUGUAAUUAUUCCUGUCUGUUGCUUGUUUUUUAAUGUUUCUUACAGUGUCUUUAAUUGUUAUUAUUAUUACUAUUAUUAUUAUUACUUUGAGAUGGAGUCUCACUCUGUCUCCCAGGCUGGAGUGCGGUGGCACAAUCUCGACUCACUGCAACCU